CCAAUAGCGUAUAUUAAAGUUGUUGCAGUUAAAAAGCUCGUAGUUGAAUUUCGGGGUUCAUCCGUUGGUCGGGCUUUUUUGGUCUGUACUGGCGUGAUGGAUUCCUACCUUCUGAAUAACCAGCAUGUCAUUAAUUUGGUGCGCUGGGGAAGCAGGACUGUUACCUUGAAAAAAUUAGAGUGCUUAAAGCAGGCUAUCGCCUGAAUACAUUAGCAUGGAAUAAUGAAAUAGGACGGCAUGGUUCUAUUUUGUUGGUUUCUAGGAUCACCGUAAUGAUUAAUAGGGAUAGUUGUGGGCAUUAGUAUUCAAUUGUCAGAGGUGAAAUUCUUGGAUUUAUUGAAGACUAACUUCUGCGAAAGCAUUUGCCAAGGAUGUUUUCAUUAAUCAAGAACGAAAGUUAGGGGAUCGAAGACGAUCAGAUACCGUCGUAGUCUUAACCAUAAACUAUGCCGACUAGGGAUCGGACGAUGUUAAUUUUUUAAUGACUCGUUCGGCGCCUUACG
rnacentral:rRNA from 1 species